GACGAACGCUGGCGGCGCGCUUAACACAUGCAAGUCGAACGGAAAGGCCUGCUUUCCCUUGUGGAUUGCGGGUACUCGAGUGGCGAACGGGUGAAUAACACGUGAGUGAUCUGCCCCCAACUUGGGUAUAAGCCUGGGAAACUGGGUCUAAUUCCCGAUAGGACUGCAGGGUGGUGCCUGUGGUGGAAAACGAUUUUCUAGUGGUUGGGGAUGAGCUCGCGGCCUAUCAGCUUGUUGGUGGGGUAAUGGCCUACCAAGGCGGCGACGGGUAGCCGGCCUGAGAGGGUGGACGGCCACAUUGGGACUGAGAUACGGCCCAGACUCCUAUGGGAGGCAGCAGUGGGGAAUAUUGCACAAUGGGCGGAAGCCUGAUGCAGCGACGCCGCGUGGGGGAUGACGGCCUUCGGGUUGUAAACUCCUUUCGACCGCGAGGAAGCCACCUGGUUGGAAGGGUGGUGACGGUAGUGGUAGAAGAAGCACCGGCUAACUACGUG
rnacentral:rRNA from 1 species